CCACACUGCCCCGUACUGUCCCAUACUGGUCCAUACUGGUCCAUACUGGUCCUUACUAUCCUGUACUGUCCCAUACUGGUCCAUACUGGUCUGUACUGGUCUGUACUGUCCCAUACUUGUCUCUUACUGUCCCAUACUGGUGUGUACUGGUCCCAUACUGGUCCAUACUGGUCCGUACUGGUCCAUACUCACGCAGGCAGCGGUCGCAGCGUCCCGCUCCGUGGCGCUGGCAGGAGCUGUGAGCGUGGCAGCCGCACGGCACCAACCACUGGGACACACUGGUCCUUACUGGUCCCAUACUGGU
rnacentral:lncRNA from 1 species